GACGAACGCUGGCGGCGUGCUUAACACAUGCAAGUCGAACGGAAAGGCCCUGCUUUUGUGGGGUGCUCGAGUGGCGAACGGGUGAGUAACACGUGAGUAACCUGCCCUUGACUUUGGGAUAACUUCAGGAAACUGGGGCUCAUACCGGAUAGGAGCUCCUGCUGCAUGGUGGGGGUUGGAAAGUUUCGGCGGUUGGGGAUGGACUCGCGGCUUAUCAGCUUGUUGGUUGGGUAGUGGCUUACCAAGGCUUUGACGGGUAGCCGGCCUGAGAGGGUGACCGGCCACAUUGGGACUGAGAUACGGCCCAGACUCCUACGGGAGGCAGCAGUGGGGAAUAUUGCACAAUGGGCGGAAGCCUGAUGCAGCAACGCCGCGUGCGGGAUGACGGCCUUCGGGUUGUAAACCGCUUUCGCCUGUGACGAAGCGUGAGUGACGGUAAUGGGUAAAGAAGCACCGGCUAACUACGUG
rnacentral:rRNA from 1 species